rnacentral:rRNA from 1 species
UACAGAGACUGCAAGCGUUAUUCGGAAUUACUGGGCGUAAAGGGCUCGUAGGUGGCCAACUAAGUCAGACGUGAAAUCCCUCGGCUUAACCGGGGAACUGCGUCUGAUACUGGAUGGCUUGAGAUUGGGAGAGGGAUGCGGAAUUCCAGGUGUAGCGGUGAAAUGCGUAGAUAUCUGGAGGAACACCGGUGGCGAAGGCGGCAUCCUGGACCAACACUGACACUGAGGAGCGAAAGCCAGGGGAGCAAACGGG